AGGAGAUGAUCACAUGCUAAGUUCGCUACAUCGUGUAGCAACGCAUGUGUGAUAUGCAUCCUGCAUAC
rnacentral:ncRNA from 1 species